UACGUAGGACCCAAGCGUUAUCCGGAAUUACUGGGCGUAAAGAGUUGCGUAGGUGGCAUAGUAAGUGGGUAGUGAAAUCGUGUGGCUCAACCAUACACACAUUAUCUAAACUGCUAAGCUUGAGUGAGAUAGAGGUAACUGGAAUUCCAAGUGUAGGAGUGAAAUCCGUAGAUAUUUGGAGGAACACCGAUGGCGUAGGCAGGUUACUGGAUCUCAACUGACACUGAGGCACGAAAGCGUGGGGAGCAAACGGG
rnacentral:rRNA from 1 species